UAGGGAAUCUUCGGCAAUGGACGAAAGUCUGACCGAGCAACGCCGCGUGAGUGAAGAAGGUUUUCGGAUCGUAAAACUCUGUUGGUAGAGAAGAACGUUGGUGAGAGUGGAAAGCUCAUCAAGUGACGGUAACUACCCAGAAAGGGACGGCUAACUACGUGCCAGCAGCCGCGGUAAUACGUAGGUCCCGAGCGUUGUACGGAUUUAUUGGGCGUAAAGCGAGCGCAGGUGGUUUAUUAAGUCUGGUGUAAAAGGCAGUGGCUCAACCAUUGUAUGCAUUGGAAACUUGUAGACUUGAGUGCAGGAGAGGAGAGUGGAAUUCCAUGUGUAGCGGUGAAAUGCGUAGAUAUAUGGAGGAACACCGGUGGCGAAAGCGGCUCUCUGGCCUGUAACUGACACUGAGGCUCGAAAGCGUGGGGAGCAAACA
rnacentral:rRNA from 1 species